CAGGAAAGCAAGCUUGCUGCUUYGCUGACGAGUGGCGGACGGGUGAGUAAUGUCUGGGAAACUGCCUGAUGGAGGGGGAUAACUACUGGAAACGGUAGCUAAUACCGCAUAACGUCGCAAGACCAAAGAGGGGGACCUUCGGGCCUCUUGCCAUCGGAUGUGCCCAGAUGGGAUUAGCUAGUAGGUGGGGUAACGGCUCACCUAGGCGACGAUCCCUAGCUGGUCUGAGAGGAUGACCAGCCACACUGGAACUGAGACACGGUCCAGACUCCUACGGGAGGCAGCAGUGGGGAAUAUUGCACAAUGGGCGCAAGCCUGAUGCAGCCAUGCCGCGUGUAUGAAGAAGGCCUUCGGGUUGUAAAGUACUUUCAGCGGGGAGGAAGGGAGUAAAGUUAAUACCUUUGCUCAUUGACGUUACCCGCAGAAGAAGCACCGGCUAACUCCGUGCCAGCAGCCGCGGUAAUACGGAGGGUGCAAGCGUUAAUCGGAAUUACUGGGCGUAAAGCGCACGCAGGCGGUUUGUUAAGUCAGAUGUGAAAUCCCCGGGCUCAACCUGGGAACUGCAUCUGAUACU
rnacentral:rRNA from 1 species